CAAAAGGGAAGAGGCGGCUCCGGGAGGGAGGGCGCUGGGGCCCCACCCCGCGGCCGGUGACUCAGCGCGCCCGCCCCGACCCGCCGGGCCGGCCAGGAAUACCACCCCCAGAUCACGAAGCUGUCUUCGACCACGCCGUCGCGCCCCGUGGGCACAGUCACAGAGCGGCGGGUUACGGGGACUGCUCGACGGUUGCAUCGCGCCCCCUGCUGUGUAACACAGGGAUUGCGGCGCGCCUGACAAAUUUACACAGUCCUGAAGAAAAGGUGAGAAACUGAAGCACAAAGAGGGUACAUAGCUUGCUCAAGGCCACAGCGUCCCUGAGUGGCCAAGGCUGAUACCAGAGACACUACCUCAACAACUUCUCAUGGGAGUUUGGGAUAGAUUUUCCCAAAAGGUU